rnacentral:rRNA from 1 species
CCUACGGGUGGCAGCAGUGGGGAAUAUUGCACAAUGGGGGAAACCCUGAUGCAGCGACGCCGCGUGAGUGAAGAAGUAUUUCGGUACGUAAAGCUCUAUCAGCAGGGAAGAAAAUGACGGUACCUGACUAAGAAGCCCCGGCUAACUACGGGCCAGCAGCCGCGGUAAUACGUAGGGGGCAAGCGUUAUCCGGAUUUACUGGGUGUAAAGGGAGCGUAGACGGCAGCGCAAGUCUGGAGUGAAAUCCCAUGGCUUAACCAUGGAACUGCAUUGGAAACUGUGCAGCUAGAGUGCAGGAGAGGUAAGCGGAAUUCCUAGUGUAGCGGUGAAAUGCGUAGAUAUUAGGAGGAACACCAGUGGCGAAGGCGGCUUACUGGACUGUAACUGACGUUGAGGCUCGAAAGCGUGGGGAGCAAACAGGAUUAGAUACCCGGGUAGUC